AAGUCGUAACAAGGUAUCCGUAGGUGAACCUGCGGAUGGAUCAUUACUAAUGAUUUAUCUUACCUUUUGUGAAUUAUUUGACACGGUCAGGGCGUCUUUACAAAACACCUGGCCACCAUUAUACUUUUACUUUUCAACUGAAAUUCAACAGAAUUAAAACAACUUUUAGCAAUGGAUCUCUUGGCUCUC
rnacentral:misc_RNA from 1 species